GACUAUCUAGCUCAGUGGUUAGAGUACCUGUCCAUGCUUGCAGGAAGUCCUAGGUUCAAUUUCUGGUGUGGUCA